GACGAACGCUGGCGGCGUGCCUAAUACAUGCAAGUAGAACGCACAGUUUAUACCGUAGCUUGCUACACCAUAGACUGUGAGUUGCGAACGGGUGAGUAACGCGUAGGUAACCUGCCUGGUAGCGGGGGAUAACUAUUGGAAACGAUAGCUAAUACCGCAUAAUAUUAAUUAUUGCAUGAUAAUUAAUUGAAAGGUGCAAUUGCACCACUACCAGAUGGACCUGCGUUGUAUUAGCUAGUAGGUGAGGUAACGGCUCACCUAGGCGACGAUACAUAGCCGACCUGAGAGGGUGAUCGGCCACACUGGGACUGAGACACGGCCCAGACUCCUACGGGAGGCAGCAGUAGGGAAUCUUCGGCAAUGGACGAAAGUCUGACCGAGCAACGCCGCGUGAGUGAAGAAGGUUUUCGGACCGUAAAGCUCUGUUGUAAGAGAAGAACGGGUGUGAGAGUGGAAAGUUCACACUGUGACGGUAUCUUACCAGAAAGGGACGGCUAACUACGUG
rnacentral:rRNA from 1 species